UACGUAGGGUGCGAGCGUUGUCCGGAAUUAUUGGGCGUAAAGAGCUCGUAGGCGGCCUGUCGCGUCGGAUGUGAAAACCCCGGGGCUCAACCCCGGGCUUGCGGUCGAUACGGGCAGGCUGGAGUUCGGGUAGGGGAGACUGGAAUUCCUGGUGUAGCGGUGAAAUGGCGCAGAUAUCUGGAGGAACACCGGUGGCGAAGGCGGGUCUGCUGGGCCGGAUACUGACGCUGAGGAGCG
rnacentral:rRNA from 1 species